rnacentral:rRNA from 1 species
UACGUAGGGCGCAAGCGUUGUCCGGAAUUAUUGGGCGUAAAGAGCGCGUAGGCGGUCCGAUAAGUCGGCUGUGAAAGUCAGGGGCUCAACCCUUGAAAGCCGGCCGAUACUGUCGGACUAGAGUCCGGAAGAGGCAAGUGGAAUUCCCGGUGUAGCGGUGAAAUGCGCAGAUAUCGGGAGGAACACCAAUGGCGAAGGCAGCUUGCUGGGACGGUACUGACGCUGAGGCGCGAAAGCGUGGGGAGCGAACAGG